GAAUCUUCCACAAUGGACGAAAGUCUGAUGGAGCAAUGCCGCGUGAGCGAAGAAGGUUUUCGGAUCGUAAAGCUCUGUUGUAAGGGCAGAACACGUACGGGAGUAACUGCACGUAUCUUGACGGUACCUUAUUAGACAGCCCCGGCUAACUACGUGCCAGGAGCCCCGGUAAGCAGUAGGUGUCAAGCGUUGUCCGGAAUUAUUGGGCGUAAAGCGCGCGCCGGCGGUUCUUUAAAUCUGAUGUGAAAGCCCACGGCUCAACCGUGGAGGGUCAUUGGAAACUGUAGAACUUGAGUACAGAAUAGGAAAGCGGAAUUCCACGUGUAGCGGUGAAAUGCGUAGAGAUGUGGAGGAACACCAGUGGCGAAGGCGGCUUUCUGGUCUGUAACUGACGCUGAGGCGCGAAAGCGUGGGGAGCAAAC
rnacentral:rRNA from 1 species